rnacentral:rRNA from 1 species
GAUGAACGCUGACAGAAUGCUUAACACAUGCAAGUCGAUGGGGAAGUGGUGCUUGCACCCUGGCAACCAUGGCGGACGGGUGAGUAACGCGUAAGGGACUUACCUGCAGGACUGGGAUAACAGGGGGAAACUCCUGACAAGACCGGAUAAUGUCAUGGAGCUGCAUGGCUUUAUGAUGAAAGGAGACGCCUGCGGAGAGCCUUGCGUCCUAUUAGCUAGUUGGUGAGGUAAUGGCUCACCAAGGCGAAGAUAGGUAGCCGGCCUGAGAGGGUGGACGGCCACAAGGGGACUGAGAUACGGCCCUUACUCCUACGGGAGGCAGCAGUGAGGAAUAUUGGACAAUGGGGGCAACCCUGAUCCAGCAAUUCUGUGUGCACGAAGAAGGUUUUCGGAUUGUAAAGUGCUUUCAGCAGGGAAGAAGUAAGUGACGGUACCUGCAGAAGAAGCGACGGCUAAAUACGUG